rnacentral:lncRNA from 1 species
GGAGGGCAAGGAGGGGUCCCGAGACAGUCACCCACUCCCUGAGCCACUCACUGACACACUCACGAAUGCCUCUCACUCCUGGUCAGAUACCCCAGGCAACUGUGACUGUCCCUGAGUUCUCUCCAGCGUCCUGAUGGGGGCCCUGGACGCUGGGUAGCAGGAAGGCCCUCCCAGACCCCGUCUCUCCUGCCCCGACAGCACCGGGGCCUUCGGGGCCUUUGCCCACCCACGAAAGUCCAGGCUCCUCUUCUAACCAGCUUCCCUCCGGGGCCUGAAGCAAGGCUCUGGUCCCCUGGGAUGCCAGUGCUGGACAGGAAGUGGGGAGGAUGGAGGCUUCAGAUCCCCAGGGUCGGGGAGGGGCAUACAGAGGCCGCUGUCUGGUCCAGGAGGAGCAGGAGGAUGGAGUCUCAAAAAGGAACAUACAUCAGACUUUAGUGAGGAAGAAGAGCGUCUCUGAGCGUGUUUCCAGCCCACGUAAAAGGCUCUUCCUCCUCCUGUCCCCAGGCUACAGUCCUAAGGGCCUGCUCAGUCCAGGUGGGUGAAGAGAAUCCCCGACACACCUUGGAGUGGGAUGGGAAAAGCAUAGCGUGUUGGCUGGAA